GUACACGCUGUGACUAGCAUAUCAAUAAGCGGAGGAAAAGAAACUAACAAGGAUUCCCCUAGUAACGGCGAGUGAAGCGGGAAGAGCUCAAAUUUGAAAUCUUAAAGGGUUUCCCUUUACGAAUUGUAGUUUAAAGAAGUGUUUUCUGUUGAGGUUUUGGUAAAAGUUCUUUGGAAUAGGACAUCAUAGAGGGUGAGUAUCCCGUAUUUGACCUUUACUUUCAACUUCGUGAUACACUUUCAAAGAGUCGGAUUGUUUGGGAAUGCAGUCCAAAAUGGGUGGUAAAUUUCAUCUAAAGCUAAAUAUUGGCGAGAGACCGAUAGCGAACAAGUACCGUGAGGGAAAGAUGAAAGGAACUUUGAAAAGAGAGUUAAACAGUACGUGAAAUUGUCAAAAGGGAAGCGUUUGACACCAGUGUUGUUUUUCUGAAGAUCAAUUAAAGAACUGUUUAUGCUAAGUUGUUUAGACUUUAUCAGCUAACUGUUUAGUUUUGAGCUUUUCUUUAAUGCACUUUUCAGUUAACAAGUCAACAUCAAUUUCUUUUGCUGUAAAAAAGCUUGAGGAAGGUGGCUUGAGAUUCGUCUUAAGUGUUUAUAGCCUCUUGCCUAUGCAGUCGGAGAGAUUGAGGUCUGCAGCGUAGAUCCUUCGGGGCUAAAUGCAUUUGUGCUAAGUUAUAAGCAUUUUAUAGACAACUUGUUGACUAUGAUUUGUCUUGUAGCUUACUCGCUUAUGUUAUUUUACCUACGCUUAGGAUGUUGACGCGCGUGUGUGCGUG
rnacentral:rRNA from 1 species